rnacentral:rRNA from 1 species
GAUGAACGCUAGCUACAGGCUUAACACAUGCAAGUCGAGGGGAAACGACAUCGAAAGCUUGCUUUUGAUGGGCGUCGACCGGCGCACGGGUGAGUAACGCGUAUCCAACCUGCCCAUCACUUGGGAAUAACCUUGCGAAAGUAAGACUAAUACCCAAUGACAUCCCACGAAGACAUCUGAAUGGGAUUAAAGAUUUAUCGGUGAUGGAUGGGGAUGCGUCUGAUUAGCUUGUUGGCGGGGUAACGGCCCACCAAGGCAACGAUCAGUAGGGGUUCUGAGAGGAAGGUCCCCCACAUUGGAACUGAGACACGGUCCAAACUCCUACGGGAGGCAGCAGUGAGGAAUAUUGGUCAAUGGGCGAGAUCCUGAACCAGCCAAGUAGCGUGCAGGAUGACGGCCCUAUGGGUUGUAAACUGCUUUUAUAAGGGAAUAAAGUGGGUCUCGUGAGACUUUUUGCAUGUACCUUAUGAAUAAGGACCGGCUAAUUCCGUG